CCUACGGGUGGCAGCAGUCGAGAAUCAUUCACAAUGGGGGAAACCCUGAUGGUGCGACGCCGCGUGGGGGAAUGAAGUUCCUCGGAUUGUAAACCUCUGUCAUGUGGGAGCAAAUUAAAAAGAUAGUACCACAAGAGGAAGAGACGGCUAACUCGGUGCCAACAGCCGCGGUAAUACAGAGGUCUCAAGCGUUGUUCGGAAUCACUGGGCGUAAAGCGUGCGUAGGCUGUUUCGUAAGUCGUGUGUGAAAGGCGCGGGCUCAACCCGCGGACGGCACAUGAUACUGCGUGACUAGAGUAGUGGAGGGGGAAGCGGAAUUCGCGGUGUAGCAGUGAAAUGCGUAGAUAUCGAGAGGAACACUCGUGGCGAAGGCGGGUUCCUGGACAUUAACUGACGCUGAGGCACGAAGGCCAGGGGAGCGAAAGGGAUUAGAUACCCUUGUAGUC
rnacentral:rRNA from 1 species